rnacentral:tRNA from 1 species
GGGGCUGUAGCUCAGUUGGCCAGAGCGCCGGCGUGGCACGCCGGAGGCCGGGGGUUCGAGUCCCCCCAGCUCCA